CCUACGGGUGGCAGCAGUAAGGAAUAUUGGUCAAUGGACGAAAGUCUGAACCAGCCAUGCCGCGUGAAGGAUUAAGGUCCUCUGGAUUGUAAACUUCUUUUAUCUGGGACGAAAAAAGGCGAUUCUUCGCCACUUGACGGUACCAGAUGAAUAAGCACCGGCUAACUCCGUGCCAGCAGCCGCGGUAAUACGGAGGGUGCAAGCGUUAUCCGGAUUCACUGGGUUUAAAGGGUGCGUAGGCGGGCAGGUAAGUCAGUGGUGAAAUCCUAGAGCUUAACUCUAGAACUGCCAUUGAUACUAUCUGUCUUGAAUAUUGUGGAGGUUAGCGGAAUAUGUCAUGUAGCGGUGAAAUGCUUAGAUAUGACAUAGAACACCUAUUGCGAAGGCAGCUAACUACGCAUAUAUUGACGCUGAGGCACGAAAGCGUGGGGAUCAAACAGGAUUAGAUACCCCUGUAGUC
rnacentral:rRNA from 1 species